rnacentral:rRNA from 1 species
AGUGAACGCUGGCGGUAGGCCUAACACAUGCAAGUCGAACGGCAGCACAGUAAGAGCUUGCUCUUACGGGUGGCGAGUGGCGGACGGGUGAGGAAUACAUCGGAAUCUACUUUUUCGUGGGGGAUAACGUAGGGAAACUUACGCUAAUACCGCAUACGACCUACGGGUGAAAGUAGGGGAUCUUCGGACCUUGCGCGAUUGAAUGAGCCGAUGUCGGAUUAGCUAGUUGGCGGGGUAAAGGCCCACCAAGGCGACGAUCCGUAGCUGGUCUGAGAGGAUGAUCAGCCACACGGGAACUGAGACACGGUCCAGACUCCUACGGGAGGCAGCAGUGGGGAAUAUUGGACAAUGGGCGCAAGCCUGAUCCAGCCAUACCGCGUGGGUGAAGAAGGCCUUCGGGUUGUAAAGCCCUUUUGUUGGGAAAGAAAAGCAGCAGGUUAAUACCCCGCUGUUCUGACGGUACCCAAAGAAUAAGCACCGGCUAACUUCGUG